GACGAACGCUGGCGGCGUGCUUAACACAUGCAAGUCGAACGCUGAACUCCGCUUGCGGAGGGAUGAGUGGCGAACGGGUGAGUAACACGUGGGCAACCUGCCCUCAGCUCUGGGAUAACUCCAAGAAAUUGGGGCUAAUACCGGAUAUUUCCGCUGACCGCAUGGUCUGGUGGUGGAAAGAUUUAUCGGCUGGGGAUGGGCCCGCGGCCUAUCAGCUUGUUGGUGGGGUAGNGGCCUACCAAGGCGACGACGGGUAGCCGGCCUGAGAGGGUGACCGGCCACACUGGGACUGAGACACGGCCCAGACUCCUACGGGAGGCAGCAGUGGGGAAUAUUGCGCAAUGGGCGAAAGCCUGACGCAGCGACGCCGCGUGGGGAUGACGGCCU
rnacentral:rRNA from 1 species